rnacentral:lncRNA from 1 species
AUCGGACUGCUAGGAUUCUAGAUGCCGAACGUAUGGCUAAGAGUCAAUUUGGAAACGAGUGGUUGGGACUAAACGCCAGGAAGAUCGAACGGCUAGGAGAACUGACUGUCCCGAUUUGCGGAGUAGAGAGAUCCAACGGCCUAGAUUUCGCUCGGAUUAAAAGUAUGAAAUUAUUAUUAGUGAGGUUUGAUCCUACGGUCCUUCUAUUGCCAUGCACACAAAGAUUGGACGACUAUGAAAUUUAGGGGUAAGUAUGAAUAGAGUGGUCUGUUACCCCCUAUCGGGUAGAAGUGU